UGACUGCUAUCGGAUUGAUACUAAGCCAUGCGAGUCAUUGUAGCAAUACAAGGCAUACGGCUCAGUAACGCGUAGUCAACCUAACCUAUGGACGGGAAUAACCUCGGGAAACUGAGAAUAAUGCCCGAUAGAACAUUAUGCCUGGAAUGGUUUAUGUUCCAAAUGAUUUAUCGCCGUAGGAUGGGACUGCGGCCUAUCAGUUUGUUGGUGAGGUAAUGGCCCACCAAGACUAUUACAGGUACGGGCUCUGAGAGGAGUAGCCCGGAGAUGGGUACUGAGACACGGACCCAGGCCCUAUGGGGCGCAGCAGGCGAGAAAACUUUGCAAUGUGCGAAAGCACGACAAGGUUAAUCCGAGUGGUUUCUGCUAAAGAAACCUUUUGUCAGUCCUAGAAACACUGAUGAAUAAGGGGUGGGCAAGUUCUGGUGUCAGCCGCCGCGGUAAAACUAGCACCUCAAGUGGUCAGGAUGAUUAUUGGGCCUAAAGCAUCCGUAGCCCGCUCUGUAAAUUUUCGGUUAAAUCUGUACGCUCAACGUACAGGCUGCCGGGAAUACUGCAGAACUAGGGAGUGGGAGAAGUAGACGGUACUCGGUAAGAAGGGGUAAAAUCCUUUGAUCUAUUGAUGACCACCUGUGGCCAAGGCGGUCUAACAGAACACGU
rnacentral:rRNA from 1 species